CCUACGGGAGGCCGCAGUGAGGAAUAUUGGUCAAUGGACGGAAGUCUGAACCAGCCAUGCCGCGUGCAGGAAGACUGCUCUAUGAGUUGUAAACUGCUUUUGUACAAGGAUAAACUUGAAUACGUGUAUUCAGCUGUAAGUACUGUAUGAAUAAGGAUCGGCUAACUCCGUGCCAGCAGCCGCGGUAAUACGGAGGCUCCAAGCGUUAUCCGGAUUUAUUGGGUUUAAAGGGUGCGUAGACGGAUUGAUAAGUUAGUGGUGAAAUGUUGGAGCUUAACGGGGGAACUGCCUCUAAUACUGGUGGUCUAGAGAGUAGAUGCGGUAGGCGGAAUUGAUGGUGUAGCGGUGAAAUGCUUAGAGAUCACGCAGAACUCCGAUUGCGAAGGCAGCUUACCAAUCUAUAUCUGACAUUGAGGCACGAAAGCGUGGGUAGCAAACAGGAUUAGAUACCCCGGUAGUC
rnacentral:rRNA from 1 species